GAUGAUCAACAUGUUUUCCUGUGUAUUCGCGCUCACGUGUAUAUAAAGGUUCACAGUUGGUGUUCCAGUACAUCCCAAAUUUGUGUGAUGGAGCUGAGACCAUUUCCCUGUUUAGCAUCUGGCUCCUGGAGGAAGAAGAUGGAAAUGGGGAAAAAGAGAGAUGUGAUAGUUCCUGGCUGUACAGUGAAGCCGCUGAACCUCUCCUGCCACUUCCUGGGCACGCUUCUGAUGAAUAAGGGAGAGAAAAUAGAGACGAUGACAGCAGGGGAAAUAUUUGCUGUUGCGGUUGGAGUGCCACUCAGAUCCCAAGAAUGAGGGCCAGGCAUAUUUGCGCAGCUGUCCAUUUCCCAAGCGCCGAGUGCAUGAGUGUGGGCCCGCUGGAGACUAUUUGUUUGUCAAAGUCACUAUGGCUGCGAUCUAUGCCAGAAACAAGGAAGAAGGAGAGACUGUGCUCCAAGAGAGAGUUGGGAUGCAAGGAGAGCCAAACAGAUGCCCUCAUAAUUCCUAACUUGUCUCCUUGCUGCCUUCGUCCUUCCAGAUGCUCACUAACUUGUCAUCUCCCAUUCUUUUGUGGAGUAUAGGCCUAUAGAGAAAAUGUAUGCACCCCAUGCAAAUGUGUUAUUUUCUUAACAUAUUUUGAACUGCUAUUCCCUGCAGCAAUAAGUAAAUUAAAUGAAAGCAAUGCACAGAUGCAACUGUAAACACAAAACAUAACCAGAGCUAACACUAGAGGCAAACAUGCAGCGCUAAUGGUGUAAUAAUAAAUAAAUGUUGUUGUUUUUUAUUGUGGUGAACCUGCUGUACUGUAAUAAAAGCCAACUCCAUCUACAUGUUUCGUGUGUUCCCUGCUAAGAUCUUUCUUUGUAAAUGGAUUUUCGUCAUGUAAAUAUUGAUUCCUGCAGUGUCCCAAAUGUAUGGCAGGGUUUCGGGAAUAGUGCUACUUGAAUUUUCAUCCGGGUAAGGUGAUAGUUUCAGGUAUCUGAAACAGUGCUAAAAGCAAAGAGCAUGACUUUAUUAUUCAUCUACUGAUAGGAUAAAAAUUUGUUUUGUCAUAAUGUGGUCCAUCACCUACUAGAUGAAGAGCGGGAUGCCAUGGACAUCCUAAA